rnacentral:rRNA from 1 species
CGGGUGGCUGCAGCAGUGAGGAAUAUUGCACAAUGGGGGGAACCCUGAUGCAGCAACGCCGCGUGGAGGAUGACGCAUUUCGGUGUGUAAACUCCUUUUAUAUGUCAAGAAGAUGACGGUAGCGUAUGAAUAAGCACUGGCUAACUCCGUGCCAGCAGCCGCGGUAAUACGGAGGGUGCAAGCGUUACUCGGAAUCACUGGGCGUAAAGGACGCGUAGGCGGGUUGGAAAGUCAGGUGUGAAAUCCUACAGCUUAACUGUAGAACUGCACUUGAAACUUCUAAUCUAGAGUAUGGGAGGGGGAGAUGGAAUUAGUGGUGCAGGGGUAAAAUCCGUAGAUAUCACUAGGAAUACCUAAAGCGAAGGCGAUCUCCUGGAACAUUACUGACGCUAAGGCGUGAAAGCGUGGGGAGCAAACAGGAUUAGAUACCCCCGUAGUC